AAGAUUAAGCCAUGCAUGUCUAAGUAUAAACAAUUCUAUACUGUGAAACUGCGAAUGGCUCAUUAAAUCAGUUAUAGUUUAUUUGAUGGUAUCUUGCUACAUGGAUAACUGUGGUAAUUCUAGAGCUAAUACAUGCUGAAAAGCCCCGACUUCUGGAAGGGGUGUAUUUAUUAGAUAAAACCAAUGGGUUUACGCCCUCCUUGGUGAUUCAUAAUAACUUCUCGAAUCGUAU
rnacentral:rRNA from 1 species